UACGAAGGGUGCAAGCGUUACUCGGAAUUACUGGGCGUAAAGCGUGCGUAGGUGGUUUGUUAAGUCUGUUGUGAAAGCCCCGGGCUCAACCUGGGAAUGGCAAUGGGAUACUGGCAAGCUAGAGUGCGGUAGAGGGUAGUGGAAUUCCCGGUGUAGCGGUGAAAUGCGUAGGAGAUCGGGAGGAACACCAGUGGCGAAGGCGGGUCUCUGGGC
rnacentral:rRNA from 1 species